AACAUCAGCCACGACAAGCCUAGACAUUCUUCCUUUUCGUCUCUUUAUCUGACUCUUGCAAGCUGAAGUGUAUGAUGGAUAUGUGUCUAAAGAAAGCAGGUAUGUGUGUACAGUCAGGAAUUAAUCUUGAAGGUAUUCUUGCCAUUUAUAAGAAUAUAGAUAAACUCAUAAGACAUUAUGGUAAGAGAAACAAUCUAGUUACACAAGGGCAAGAUCCUUGGGAUAGUCAAGCUCAAUGAAGACUUACUAGCCAAAAGAAUGGUGGACAAGGGACUGGUGAGAUGGGAGGGUGCGAUGUGGAAUCCUUUUCUAAUGUGUAAAAACCCUUUGUUAUAUGAUAUAAACAAACUCAUAGGUCUUCUGGAUGACACAGUGUGCACUGUUAGUAUGUUACUGUGUGCCUUAAAAUAUCCAAAACAACUACCAGGCCUAUCCUAUGCCCAUCUCAGAAGUAAACAAUGGGAUAUUACAAAGGAAUGGGUGCCUACAAUUUGAUUGGCUCAUGGAAUCAACCAGGUCACAAAAUGAGGCAAAGGAAGCAACAGCAUAUGCCUUACUCACGCCCUCCUGAACUCAGACCUUUCAUUACUGUGGAGUCUUGUUUUUUCUUAUAGCUCUGUAUUUGGAGGCUCAGGGUCUUUUUAUUGAUUGCCUUUUGUUUUUCCUGGAUGGAUCACUGCAUGUGCACGAUUAGAGUGUUAUAUCUUUGGGAAGAUUGAUGUUUUAUCACAAUAUAACAUCUCUCUUUGCCUCUAACAGUAUGACUUAAUUACAUAUAAGUAUAGCUAUAUUUUGUUUUAAAACUUUUUUUUUUACAGUAUAUGUCACCUUUACUGUUCAUUUAUCAACAGCUACAUGUUGACCCUCUUUCCAUGUCUGUGGCGUUCAUGUCUUUUCCU
rnacentral:lncRNA from 1 species